GUCAUUUUCCCAAGUAGCUGGGUACUGCGUGUUGGGUCUGGUGGAGUUGUGUGUAAUAUUGUAUCCAUCUCCCGGGAUUCUACGUUAUCGUGGGUUGGCGAGUUGCAUUUUGGUGGUCGUACAGAUUCGGUGCAUACAUGAAAUAUGGCAUAUGAGUGUGCAAUUGAUCCUGUUCGUGGAUAGGGUGGUGAAAGUUGGGGGGGAAUUUUUGGGUUCUC